CACACACACACACACCCUGCCCAAUUCUAGCAUAGGAUCCACAAAGUUUCCAGUCCCAUCUCCAAAGAAUUCCUUUUGAAUUUGAUUUGCUUUCACACCUAUUUUUGAGGCUACAUCUCUUUAAAAGCCCUAUAAUUAUCACUAAGCUGUUUUGAUAAUGGCGGAUUGAGUCUUCCAGUAUUUAGUAUAUUAACUGCAUUUAGUUGAACAGAGAAGAAAUGUUGAAAUAUUGCCUCCCCUCUUUUUUAAAAAGUAAUUGUUUUACCUAAAGUGUAAAUUCUCACAUAGAAUUGUGUGUGCUGACCUUUCAAGUAAAAUUGUAACAUACCUAUUAUAACUGGUGACAGGCAAAGAAUUCUUUAUUCUUUUUUCUCUUUUGAAAUAAAUAUUAAUGAGAUUCUGCUGCAGUAUAAAUAAGAUUUAAUUGUAUUGCUUCCAAACUUACCUUUUGAAAGCUUAGUCUAAUGAUACUGUACCUGUAGGUAAAUCAAUGUUCACAUGAGAGAUUAGAUAAAAUAUUAUAUAUAUAUACAAUAAAUUCACACAGCUUUUCAAUUUUUAUUAUCAACUUUAAAUCUUUCUCAUUUUAGUGGGUAAAUUAAUGCUAAUACAUAAAUAUUACAGUUUGCUAGUGAAUCAUAAAUUUUUCAAAGAAACCCUUUGGUUUUCUUUUAAAGGAUUUAACUCAAAAGCUAUGCUUCUAAAUAUGUCUGUGGAUAUUUUAAUUAGUAUUUUCAUAGAUAAUUGAGAUCGGACAUAUUCUUAGUAAUAUAAUGCUUGUCAUUGAAAGCCUCUUUUUCAUAUUACAUUUGGUUUGGUUUUAAUGAAACUUUCAGCUAUUCAUUAUUCUGUGUAUAGGCUAUUAAUAACCCCAGACAUAAAUUGUUGAAUCAAAUAAGAAAUCAAUCAAUAUAGCUAAGCCCUGCAAAGUAGUCAUGGUUCAGAACUGGCACCUUUCCAACAAACAAAUAACCUGAUCUGUACUAUAAAGUAGUCUGGAGAUUUUGGGAAAGCUAUAGGCAACAACUGGCUGAACUCCUGUGAGGUCAUAGAACUCUAUAGAGGCUCAAAGAAUGAUAAAUUUAAAGCAUAAUGAUAAUAGUUUGCGGGUGGAUGAGGGGAAAGGAUUGUUUGUUUGGCUGUAAUGAAAGCUUCAUGUAAAUCCUAAGGCUAUUAAAAGCUAGUCUAUCCACCAACAAUUAUAACUUAAUGUUGUAGGAUACUUUUAACAUUGCACUGAUUUUCCUGCCUGACCUACCCUCAUCCAUCCAUAAUUAGAUAUCCUUCCUCCUGCUUACUCUGUAGUGAUCUGUCCUACAUUAAUCUAUAAUAAAUUGUAUUGGAAAGUAGACCAUAAAUUUAAUUAAGACAAGAAUUGUCUUAAUAAAAUUUUUAACUAUUUUAAUGCUGUAUUAGUAUUUAAUAAUGUUAUCAUGUGUAAUGAUAGCGUUAAAUUGCUCUGGGGAGUUUUUGGUAAUCACCCCUCAUCAGCAGAUACUGUCAAAGAUUCUGAAGAGAUGACUGAAAUCUAAAGAACUAAAUUCAAGUACAUUCCCAACAGCUUAAAUAAGGACAAAAGGGAGAGAUGUACUUGAAAACAGUGGCUUGCUCCAGUAAAUAGAACAUUUGGAUUGUAUGAUGGGGGGAUGGCGGGGGGAGGGGGAGGUAGUCUUCUUUCCUAAAAACUCAUUCAUCUUUAGUAGCAUAGCUAUGCCAGUGAUCUGGAGAGAGAUGAUUUUUUCUCACCUUCCAAGUCUGCAAGGGUAUCUGGAAGCUCCUGGGCACUUGUGCAUCUUCUGACGAUUGGCUGCACAUAGCAGUUUCCAGAACCAUCUGGGCAUGUCUUUGUGUACCUGUGAGAAGUGGAAGAGGCAGAUGUUUUCCUCUGGAUAAGAGCAGAUGCUGCUUCUUUGUUCUCAAGUGUAUAAGGAUAGUUGGAACAGCUCCAUGGAACACCUCCAUGGCCAAUCAGAGAAUGAAAUCUGUUUUCUUUUCCAUGCAAAGAGUAAAGGUGUUACCUAGGGAGAAAUAAAAUAACUCCUACAAAUCAUUAAAGAUACGUACAUCGGCCUAACCAGUAAUUAUGCCUACAUAAAAUUACCUGUAGAAGGAACAUGUAGUUCCAAGGAAUGCUGUGUACGCUAGGAAUCAUGACAUUGCCAUUUCAAAACUGAAAUAAUUGAUGCAUUUGGAAUUUUUUGAUUAUGUUGGAUGGAGCAAUUGAUACUCCAAUCUGAACAUCUUAGUGUUGAAUAUCAAAUGUGAGAAACCCUUUUUAAAAUGGCAGAUUCUACUCAUGGUCUUUGAUUAUGGCAGUUUUGUUUAUCCUGUUGAAGAGACCAGAAGCAAGAGCAUCACCACCCAGCUCUUCUGUUACUUGCUUUUGUAUUUCUCAUGAGUAGACUGCAGCCCCAGGCCUACCCCAGCAGUUAACAAAUAGCUCUGGAUGGUGUCUGUAACAGGCUUUUAUUUAGCAUGUAGCAGGGGGAGAAUUUAACAACCUUGUCACAUGGCCACUGGAGGUGCUCUGCUUCACAGAGGGGCAUGGGGAACCCGGCACCCUACGCCCCGCAUCACAUGGCUCCAGCUGAGAUUGGUUAGUUGAGGGAAGCGUGAGCAUACAUGGAGCACAUGGCUUCCUCCAUGGAUUCCAAUGGCAACACAGGAUUCCUCUUGUGUUGCUCUGGUGGUGGCAUGCACCGACUCUGUCCUCCUUCAACCACAUAGCCACGGCAGCAUCAUCUGAUGGGAGCCAGCCGUCUCGCUGGGUGACUGAGGCUGAAUCAGUGCAUGUUGCCAAAUUUAGCCCCAUGUGAAGAGGUUGUAAGAUUUUGUUGUACACCUUGGCACCCUUUUGGUGAAAGGUAAGACUCUGAAACAGCCUCUACAAAUAAUUGGACUUGAGAAGUGGAGACAGAAGAUAUCCUCAUGGGUAAAUAGUGGUUUUGUUCUCUUUUAUAAGGUCCUGGGACUUGAGUAGGAGUGGCCUGAACUUUCCUUCCAGUAAGUAGUCAAGGGGGGGAGCAACCUUACUAUUAGAUUGCCCUCAUGGCCUAGGUGUUUUGUCCAAGGAAAGGCUGAGUAGGUAGUCUAGGGUAGACCCCUGGCUUCUGUUGGAGCCACUUCAGGUUGUUUCCACUUCUUCCUUCUUUUAGGUCCAACAACUUACAUUUUUUAAAAGAUCAAAUAAAGUAGAUCAUAUUUAGCUCACCUUUCUGUAUCUAGUCUCCUUAUUCCAUUCUUUAUCAUCAAAUGGGAUAUUAAAAUUGUCACUGCCUUUUCUUUGAAGAGGAGUUGGGCAUUCAAAGUAUCAUCACAAACAAUCUUAAAAUUCAUGUUGUUUGUUAUGGGAGUAGGCACUUUUCCACAUAUUUUGUUAACCUAAAGGGCCCCUGGGAAAAACUGGCUACUCUUAGAGGCAUUUCUUUUUACCAAACUGUAGUCAGCAAUAGCGAGACAUUUCCAGUAGUAGUUUGUGGCUUUCCUGUCACUGGGGCAGUGAAUUCAAUCCAGGUUUUUAAACUGCUGGCUUCAAUGUGUAAUUCCGAAUUCUUGUUUGUUGUUUUAAUGUGUUCUUCCCUAGGGGAAGAAAUUGUGAAAAGGUAUGGAAAUCUCUUACGUUAUUCAAGUGGAAACUGUAUAGUGAGCUUUCAAGAGGUUCCAUAAACAUAAUGCAGCAUAUGAAAUCACAGAACCGUAGUUUUAAAUCCAUUAAAAAUGUCUCAGAGCAACUAAGAGAGAAUACUGAUUUUGUGUUAUGGCUGCAAGGCAAGUGAAAAUCUUACAUUAAUUAAUCUUCACCCACAUUACCAAUGUCUGUGUUCUAAAUUUUUCCUUAUGUAAAUUGCAUGAACAACAUCAUGAAGUAGGCGCUAACAUGUUGAUUACCAGCAAUUUUAUUGUGUUGAAUGAGAACAUAAAUUAUUAUUUUUGAAAACUAAAGUAAUUGUAUCAGAUUAACAGCAAAUAUUGCACUUUGUCAUUUCCAAAAUCAAUACUUUAAUUUUACAAGAACAGUAAUUAGCUUAUGUCAAUUUUAUAGCAUUUUAGGUUAAUACCAACAUUAAUUGAUUGCUUAAUUUUCUAAUAUUGUAAAAUGCUUACUAUCUUCAGAUGUGUACAAAUGUGUAUGCUUAUCCAUUCUGUUAUCACAUUAUGUGCUACACUCAUCAGACAUAUAUAUAUCAUAAAGCAAAUUAGCAAGCUUUUAAUAUUCUCCAAAAAAUUUCAGGAUACUAUUGGAAACUUGAGAAAAUAGCAUAUAUGACAACUCAUUUACCUGCCCUACCUUUUGCCUGCCUCUCUGUUUUUCAACAGCAAGUCAAUAAAAAUGAUUAGAGCUGCAACCUCACCAAAUGUAUACCCUUAAACCACACAAUCAUAAUGAUGGGAAGGCGUCUUCCCCUGACCUUUUAAAAUUACAUUCAGCUGUCUGGGGAAUUUCAUAGUGAGGAACAGUAAUAAGGUUCAAUCCUUUUUGGUAGCUGGCUUUAAAUUCAUCUCAUCAGAAGUUGUAAGUUAUCUAUUCCUUUUAUCUUGGCCUUGGCACACUUGGAAUGCUGUAAUCCAUCCAUCUAAUCUUUUGCAUGUAUUUUUCUCCUCCUUCUCCCUCAGGUUUUGCUAGUGAAUCACAUUAUGAAAUCUGCAACCAUGAAAGACCCAUUUGUUGCAUUAUCCAUAAAAGAAAUAAAAGUGAUAACUAACAUGGAAGCUAAACUGGUCAGUAUCUCCUGAUCUGGCAUGAGAUCUCAACAAGGCACUGGAAUUUCCAUCAUUGUGCAAAGGUUCUUCACAGGAGGCUAAUAAUGAAGGAGUCCGUAAAGGAGGCCAGUGCCACCAGGGUUAUCUCCUAGCUCCAGAUGCUGGAUAAGUUGAAUCGCUUUUGGAUGACAUUCAGGUCUGAGUGAUGAUUUGGAGAAGAAAAGACCAUUCUUCCCGAGGUUUUCCCCUUUCUGUGCAACAAUGAGCUUUCAGCAAUACAUCCCUGAGACAAAAGAUCUGGUCUGUGGCCAGCGACACGAAAGAGGAGGCUUUAAAGGAAUGGUCAGGUCCUCUUUUAAUCAUGAGAGAGAAAUUUCCCACAUGGAGUCACCAGAAAAUUAAAAUAAAAUAGCAUGCUGACUGUACUUAGUUCCAACAAAUGCUAAGGAAAUUAAGAAAUAGCUUCACCAGACGGUUCUGCUGAUGUAGCACCAUAGAGAUAAGUAAGUGUUUGUUAUUGCAUAGCUCAACAGAAUUUAGAUUCAAGUUAAAUUAGGCAUUAUUUGCAUAAUUGUGUUUUUACAUUAAAAGAAUAGCAGGACUGAGUCAACACGGCCUUCCAAAAUUAUCCAUCCUACCUCUGGGUGGUGAAGCGGGAUAUUAUGAUAAAUAUUCUGUGAAUUAAGGUGGAAAUCUGCAGUAGUUUUUGGUUUGGAAAUUAAAAUUAUUUCUUAAGAAUUGUUAGAUUAGUUAAUACUGGAUGAAACCUUAUUUUCAGUUGGUUCAGGUAGAUGAAAGACAGUCAUGAACUACGAUUGUCAGGGAGCAGUAGGGAUGAAGUCUAUUGUCGACAUCUACAAUAUUGAGGUCUAGAUCCAAUGUAAUCUAAACUUAAGUAGAUAUACUGGGUCAAUUUAGAACUUGGUAAGUCAACAUUUAUAUGGUCAGUUGAUUCAAUGGGUCUACUCUCACUAGGACUAACCUUUGAGUUUAAGACCAAAUAUUCAAGUGCCAUCAGUAUCAGGAAAUUUCCCAUCAUAUUCAUGGGCUACAAAAUUGGGAAGUCCAUUUGCUGAAUAUUCCCCAGGAGAGAAAUACAAUUUUCCAACAAUUUUAAGAGUUCAAAUAGUGCAGGGUUUAAAAAAAAAUGGAUCAGCUUCCCAAAAGAGAGAUAUGGAGGGAACUAGUCUGAUAAAUUCUGUAGUACAGGGAUGAGGCAGGAGACACAGUAAUAACUCUUUCUUUGCAUUUUUUUUUAUUCAGAUGCCAUUUGAGCAGAAGGUUUCAUUGGCAAAAGUAAUCAUAUCUUUUGUUUGGCAAAUAGCAACUUUAGGAAAAUAAUUUUCAUUGGAAAAAUGGUUCAUAAGGGGAAUAGUGCUACAAUCCCAAUUCAGUUUAGAGUUUUUCCAUGGUUAUACUUCGUGCCUUAAUUAUCAAACAAAAUUAAAUAGACUGCAUGAAUAUAAUUGCAUAUUAUCAUAUUUUCUGAUCUUAGUCCUUCAAAUAAGCACAGCAUGAAAAUGUGCACCAACCAUGGCAUCCCUUUAGGAAUAUGACCACUUGUCUUAUCGAGCUGCAGCACAGGUGUGAAUCCAUAAAAGGUUCUGUCCCAUAAGAAGGCACUGGAAGUUACUACUGGAGGCUGAAGCUCUGUAAUCAGUUGUUAAUAUUCCUGUCAAACAGUGAUGAAAGGAAAGCAAUAGUUAUGUUUUACAUUAAUUCAUCCACUAGGGAUGGCAAAUUCUGGCCUUUUCACUUCUCUGCUUUCAUAUUUUUAAAUCCAAAGUUAUUUCUGUCUUCGCAUGCAUUUUAUAAACAGAGCUGGCACAGUAGAGUGGUUUGAGUGUUGGACUAGGACUCUGGAAUUCCAGGGUUUGAAUCUCUGCUCAUUCAUAGAAACCCACUGGAUAACCUUGGGCUUGUCAUGCUAUCUUGGCCUAUGGCAACAUUUCUCAAACUGUGCUCCUCCAGGUGUUUUGGACUUCAGCACCAGUCUUUGAUCAUUGUGCAUAUAGGGAUGAAAGAUUGUGCAUAAGAAUUAUAUUAGAAAACCUUUUUUCUCUCUUUCUCAUGCAGAGAUUCUCAAUCUGUUCUUUAAAAAAAUAGGCUUAUUGACUGACAACAAAACAUGAUGAGAGCUGCUCCAUUCAAAUGAAUUGUGAAUGCAUUUACAGACAAAUGAUCUCCCAUUGUGUCCAAGAAGAGAGAUGCAGCAUAUGUGGUCAAGAAUGCAGUCAAAAAUCUUAACUACUCAACUAUUUUGCCUUUCAGCCAUGAGGUUGUUUAUGUCCAUUAAAACCAGAACAUAAUGCUCCCUUGUAACUAGUACACCAUCUAAAUUGUUCUUUGAAUUUGUGCAGCCAGAAAUCACCUGUGUAACAUUAUCAGUUAAAUAAGCUACUAAGCUAGCUCACAUCUCUUUUUAUCAUUCAGACUACUCAGAUGAAUCCGCUAGCUACCUAUAUACUCAAUUGACAGUGUACAGAUGGAAGUGUAGAAGCAGAGAUGGAAAUGUGUGUGUGAUGUUCUUGUUCUGUAUAUUUUCUUCACAGCCCAUCUAUUCACUACAGAGAAUGGAACUGGAUGUAGUGCAAACAGAACUUGGAGAACUAUAGCUAAUGGGAUCCCUCAGUUGUUAUGAACAGUAGAAAUGAUAGCUGGAGAAUGAUGAAAACCAUUGUACAAAAAAAAAAAACCAAAACACUUUUUAGUGUUGUGUGUGUACAUGUUACACAUUGUGGAGAUUUUCCCUGACUUGAUCAGUGCCUACAGCAAUUGUUCCCCAUUAUCUAUUCCUCCUCCCACCCCUCCCAUUGCAGUGACCUCCGUCCCUUGAGUCGAAGACAUUCAUAUAUAUUUUUGGAAAGGAUAUUUUGAAGACAUUAAUAAAAGAGGCACAGAUUUUGGAAUUAAACUAUGAGUAUGAUCUAAAAGGUCAUGCAUGUGAACAGAGUAAAUUAUCAGGAUAAACUGUAAUCAGUGAACUUGUGUAUCAUUACAUAUCAAAUCUGGGAGUAGCAUUGUUUCUCAAGUAAAGAGGGAGCUUAUUUUAUGAUAGCCUUAGCAGUAGGCUACCUGACAUCUUGGAGAAUUAAAGAAAUUGCACUAACCCUGUGAAAAGAACAGUAGACAAAGUAAACUCUUUGUAAAUGUUUUUGAAAUUCUGUAAGCAUGAUAAUAAAUACAAAUUUAGAAUCCUG